GCUGGGUGUGGUGGCGCAUGCCUGUAAUCCUAGCUACUUGGGAGGCUGAGGCAGGAGAAUCGCUUGAACCCAGGAGGCGGAGGUUGUGGUAAGCCAAGAUUGUACCAUGGCACUCCAGCCUGGGUGACAGAGCAAGACUCUGUCUCAA
ensembl:misc_RNA Metazoa_SRP Metazoan signal recognition particle RNA